rnacentral:SRP_RNA from 1 species
ACCAGACGUGGCGGCACAUGCCUGUAGUCCCAGUUACUCGGGAGGCUGAGGUGGGAGGAUUGUUUGAGCCCAGGAGUUCUGGGCUGUAGUACGCUAUGCUGAUCGGGUGUCCGCACAAAGUUUGGCAUCAAUAUGGUGACCUCCCGGGAGUAGGGAACCACCAGGUUGCCUAAGGAGGGGUGAACCGGUCCAGGUCGGAAACGAAGCAGGUCAAAACUCCCGUGCUGAUCAGUAGUGGGAUCACGCCUGUGAAUAGCCACUGCACUCCAGCCUGGGCAACAUAGCGAGACCCCGUCUCU